rnacentral:SRP_RNA from 1 species
GCCAGGCGUGGUUGCGGGUGCCUGUAAUCCCAGCAACUAAGGAGGCUGAGACAGGAGAAUCACUUGAACCCAGGAGGCUCAGGUUGCAGUGAGCUGAGAUUGCGCCACUGCACUCCAGCCUGGGCGACAGAGUGAGACUCUGUCUCAA